GGUAUAACUAUAGUCAUCACUAUAACUGCAGUUAUCUUGGGGUUUAUCUACAGAAGUCUGCGUCACAGGUAAGAGACUACAGCUUUUAAAUUCUCCUCCUGUCUAUAAAAACAGAAACAAUGUUAAGAUUCAUUACUAAUAUAUUGUUGUUUGACCCAACAGAAAACAACCAGAGCCACUGAGCAUUCAUCCAAACACGGAGCCAGAGGUCAUCGAGCCAUACGGGACCUUCAUACAGACGGAGGGCGGGCUUUACUCAACUGUCAGACUAAAUGUCUCUCACACUAAUAAUUCACACGUUUCCACGAAAGAGCCACAUUCAGUAUAUUACAAGUGAAAAGAGUCAUGUUGUCCACAAGGUGGCACUGUUUUCUUUUGUAACAGCUUCUGUCUUUCCCUCCAGUCCUUUAUGUAAAUUAUACAUGUUAAAAUCUGGUAUUAUAUUAUGUAUUAAUAAACAGUUUAAACCAA